rnacentral:rRNA from 1 species
AAACGUAGGAGGCAAGCGUUAUCCGGAGUUACUGGGCGUAAAGCGCGCGUAGGCGGUUCGUUAAGUGGGGCGUGAAAGCCCCGUGCUAAACGCGGGGAGGACGAACCAUACUGGCGAACUGGAGUGGAGCAGAGGGACAUGGAAUUCCGGGUGUAGCGGUGAAAUGUGCAGAUAUCCGGAGGAACACCAGAGGUGAAGACGGUGUCCUGGGCUCACACUGACGCUGAGGCGCGAAAGCGUGGGGAGCGAACGGGAUUAGAGACCCCGGUAGUCCACGCCGUAAACGAUGCCAACUAGAUGCUUGUGGUUCGAAAGAGCUGUGGGUGUCGAAGCAAACGCGAUAAGUUGGCCGCCUGGGGAGUACGGUCGCAAGGCUAAA